rnacentral:rRNA from 1 species
CGGGGUGGAGUAAUGUCUGGGAAACUGCCUGAUGGAGGGGGAUAACUGCUGGAAACGGUAGCUAAUACCGCAUAACGUCGCAAGACCAAGGAGGGGGACCUUCGGGCCUCUUGCCAUCGGAUGUGCCCAGAUGGGAUUAGCUAGUAGGUGGGGUAACGGCUCACCUAGGCGACGAUCCCUAGCUGGUCUGAGAGGAUGACCAGCCACACUGGAACUGAGACACGGUCCAG